CAGGUCCCCACAGGCCACAGUUUUACUUCUUCGGUUCCUAUUCUCCACCUGAUAGUGGGCUCCUCAGGUGAUUUCCUAGUGUGUUUGGCCACCAGAGCAGACAAAUACGGCACAGAAAAGAGUGGGAGGGCCCAGUGGUGUGCCACUGGCUGAAGGACUCAUUCCCUUAUCCCCCAUUUUCAGCAUUGGAUAAAAAAUCUUUCAGACAUGGGCCCGGAUCAUGUAGGAGCUGCGGCUCCAGAGGGAGAAACCCAGUGAAGAUGCCAGGGGCUUGGAGAACUCCUUCGUCUGGCCGAAGGCCUACAGGCUAUUCCCAGAACUCCAAGAUCUAAGUUUCUUCCCGGAUUAGUUCUUGCUGAUUUAUGCUGCGGUCUCCCUGCCUCUGCGAGAGAAACUCCUCCGUCCAGGCCUCGUCGGGUGACAGCUGAGCGGCUGCCCUCCUGCGUGCCUCUGGGCGCUGCUGUUUAACUUCAAGUCCCAGAGGCCUGUUGGUUCUGAGGUGGCAACGCCAAGGUUCCCUCUCACCAGGAACAUUCCUGGAAAGUGUUAAAGGAAAACAAAGAAGGUCACUAGUUAAUGGUGGGAAAGCCAGAUUUUAUUCAGUACUACUGCAGUAGGAAGAUUUUUUUUUUUUUUUUUUUUUUUAAUGAUUUGAGAGAGAGAGAAGAGGGGUGGGGAGACCGAUUUGCUGUUCCAUGCAUUUACCAUUCUUCGGUUGCUUCUUAUAUGUGCCCUGACCGAGGAGCGCACCCACAACCUUGGUGUAUUGGGACGACGCUCUAACCAAUGCGCUACCCAGCCGGGGCCAAGAGGCUUCUUUAGUAUAGAACUGAGCUUGAUUCUGAUCGAUGUAGAGGUGACUUGGCCUUUUAAAGAGAGAAAGAAGGAGCAGGGAAGGGAAGCAAGUGGGGGCUCCAGCAUUGUCAAGAAAGUGAAAAAUUACAAAAAGUGUGUAAGUGGUCAAUGUCAAGGUGAUUAAGCCAUCCAUGUCUGGUGACUGGCACUUACCCAGGUAGGCUCCUACCCUCCUGCAGUGAUUGGGACACAGGGCCACUGUCCUUCCUGACAAUUAUGCUUUAAAGGAUUGGUUCCCAGGUCCUUCAGAAAGGCGCUCCUGGGUUCUGGAAGAUACAUGGAGGCAAGAUAGUUAGAUGUUAGGAGAAUUUUUUUGACAAUUGGGAAAAGGGAAACUGAGGCAAGUGGUUAGACAAAUAGGGGCAAACACGUUAAGCAAUUUAUAAUCAGCUAGUAAAUUGUAAGAUCUUACCUUCCCUCACCAAGGACACUUGAGAGCAUAUAGUUUACACUUCUUCCUAACCAGAGAGUAAAUAGCUUAAAUCACCAUGGUCAGGGAGAUAGACAACAAAGAGUCAGUUAGUGCCAUUAGUGCCAGCCCACCGCAAGGACAGAUGAAGUCAGGUAUAAAUAACAAAAAACCCAAUUAGAGUCAAACAAAUCCAAGAUAGAGGUAAAACUGACCAGAAAAUGACCCUGGUCCCUCUAUGCGCUCAUUUUGGCACAUCCACAUAUGAAAAACACACACCUAGAAAGCUGAUGAAUAUUCUGCUGAAACCCUCCCCUGAGAUCUCCCCUAGGGUUACCAUCUGCUAAAGAGAAAUAAAGCCCUCAAGACAAAGAACACCAGCACCAGACUCUCUCCCGAGCGGGCGUGAACUUAUUUUCUCCUAAACUUUCACUGUCCCCAGCUUUAAUAAAACACUUAAAAUUA